rnacentral:rRNA from 1 species
AGGGCACAUGGUGGAUGCCUUGGCAUCAAGAGCCGAUGAAGGACGUAGGAGCCUGCGAUAAGCCCUGGGGAGUUGGCAACCGAGCUGUGAUCCGGGGGUGUCCGAAUGGGGGAACCCAGCACGAGUCAUGUCGUGUUACCCGCGCCUGAAUGUAUAGGGUGUGUGGAGGGAACGUGGGGAAGUGAAACAUCUCAGUACCCACAGGAAGAGAAAACAAUAGUGAUUCCGAGAGUAGUGGCGAGCGAAAUCGGAGGAGGCUAAACCUCGUGCGUGUGAUACCCGGCAGGGGUUGCGUGCGGGGGGUUGUGGGAGCAUAUGGAGGGGUCUGCCGGCUCCUUGCACAGUGAGAAAGUCGUUGUGAAGUUGAAGUCCGCUGGAAAGUGGUGCCGUAGAGGGUGAGAGCCCCGUAAGUGUAAGCGACGACCUGUGAUGUGUUUUCCCAAGUAACACGGAACUCCUGAAAUUCUGUGUGAAUCUGGCGGGACCACCCGUUAAGCCUAAAUACUCCUUGAUGACCGAUAGCGGACUAGUACCGUGAGGGAAAGGUGAAAAGUACCCCUGGCGGGGAGUGAAAUAGUACCUGAAACCGUGUGCCUACAAUCCGUCGGAGCCCGGCUGCCCUUUGUGGGUGUUGGGGUGACGGCGUGCCUUUUGAAGAAUGAGCCUGCGAGUUUGCGUUGUGUUGCGAGGUUAACCCGUGUGGGGGAGCCGUAGCGAAAGCGAGUCCUAAUAGGGCGGUUGAGUAGCACGAUCAAGACCCGAAGCGGAGUGAUCUAUCCAUGGGCAGGUUGAAGCGCGGGUAAGACCGCGUGGAGGACCGAACCCACUUAGGUUGAAAACUGAGGGGAUGACCUGUGGAUAGGGGUGAAAGGCCAAUCAAACUCCGUGAUAGCUGGUUCUCCCCGAAAUGCAUUUAGGUGCAGCGUCGCGUGUUUCUUACCGGAGGUAGAGCACUGGAUGGUCUAGGGGGCCCACAAGCUUACCGAAAUCAGCCAAACUCCGAAUGCCGGUAAGUGAGAGCGCGGCAGUGAGACUGCGGGGGAUAAGCUCCGUAGUCGAGAGGGAAACAGCCCAGACCAUCAGCUAAGGCCCCUAAGCGGUGACUAAGUGGAAAAGGAUGUGGAGUCGCAGUGACAACCAGGAGGUUGGCUUGGAAGCAGCCACCCUUGAAAGAGUGCGUAAUAGCUCACUGGUCAAGUGAUUCCGCGCCGACAAUGUAGCGGGGCUCAAGCACACCACCGAAGCUGUGGCAUUGACACUUUGCCCGGACGUGACACCUGCGGGUUCACGUUCCAAGCGUGUUGAUGGGUAGGGGAGCGUCGUGUGGCCAGGGAAGCGGCGGAGUGAUCCAGCCGUGGAGGCCACACGAGUGAGAAUGCAGGCAUGAGUAGCGAAUGACGGGUGAGAAACCCGUCCGCCGAAUAUCCAAGGGUUCCAGGGUCAAGCUAAUCUGCCCUGGGUAAGUCGGGACCUAAGGCGAGGCCGACAGGCGUAGUCGAUGGACAACGGGUUGAUAUUCCCGUACCGGCAACGUAGCGCCCAUGACGAACCUGGUGAUGCUAACCAUCCGAAGCGCAGGUUGACCGAUCCCUUCGGGGUGAGGCUCUUGUGUGGAGCGUGGGACCCGAGCUGGUAGUAGUCAAGCGAUGGGGUGACGCAGGAAGGUAGCCCAACCACGCCGAUGGUUGUUGCGUGGGUAAGCAGGUAGGGGGCGGUCUAGGCAAAUCCGGACCGCUGUGUUUGAUCACGACCCUGAGAUGUGAUGCCGAGCCCGUAUGGGCGAAGUGGGUGAUCCUAUGCUGUCGAGAAAAACCUCUAGCGAGCUAUGCGCCGCCCGUACCCCAAACCGACUCAGGUGAUCAGGUAGAGAAUACCAAGGCGAUCGAGCGAACCAUGGUUAAGGAACUCGGCAAAAUGCCCCCGUAACUUCGGGAGAAGGGGGGCCGGAUCCGUGACCACCCUUGCGGUGGAAAGCGGUGAUGGCCGCAGAGACCAGGCCCAAGCGACUGUUUACUAAAAACACAGGUCCGUGCGAAGUUGUAAGACGAUGUAUACGGACUGACUCCUGCCCGGUGCUGGAAGGUUAAGGGGAACUGUUAGCGCAAGCGAAGCGGUGAACUUAAGCCCCAGUAAACGGCGGUGGUAACUAUAACCAUCCUAAGGUAGCGAAAUUCCUUGUCGGGUAAGUUCCGACCUGCACGAAUGGAGUAACGACUUGGGCGCUGUCUCAACCGUGGACUCGGCGAAAUUGCACUACGAGUAAAGAUGCUCGUUACGCGCGGCAGGACGGAAAGACCCCGGGACCUUUACUAUAGUUUGGUAUUGGUGUUUGGUUCGGCUUGUGUAGGAUAGGUGGGAGACUGUGAAGCGGCCACGCCAGUGGUUGUGGAGUCAUCGUUGAAAUACCACUCUGGUCGUACUAGAUGUCUAACCUAGGACCGUUAUCCGGUUCAGGGACAGUGCCUGAUGGGUAGUUUAACUGGGGCGGUUGCCUCCUAAAAUGUAACGGAGGCGCUCAAAGGUUCCCUCAGCCUGGUUGGCAAUCAGGUGGCGAGUGUAAGUGCACAAGGGAGCUUGACUGUGAGACAGACAUGUCGAGCAGGGACGAAAGUCGGAACUAGUGAUCCGGCCACGGCAUGUGGAAGCGUGGUCGCUCAACGGAUAAAAGGUACCCCGGGGAUAACAGGCUGAUCUUCCCCAAGAGUCCAUAUCGACGGGAUGGUUUGGCACCUCGAUGUCGGCUCGUCGCAUCCUGGGGCUGGAGUAGGUCCCAAGGGUUGGGCUGUUCGCCCAUUAAAGCGGCACGCGAGCUGGGUUUAGAACGUCGUGAGACAGUUCGGUCCCUAUCCGCCGCGCGCGUAGGAAACUUGAGAAAGGCUGUCCCUAGUACGAGAGGACCGGGAUGGACGAACCUCUGGUGUGCCAGUUGUCCCGCCAGGGGCACGGCUGGUUAGCUACGUUCGGAAGUGAUAACCGCUGAAUGCAUCUAAGCGGGAAGCACGUUUCAAGAUGAGGUUUCCCACCCCCUCGAGGGGGUAAGGCCCCCAGCAGAACACUGGGUUGAUAGGCCGGAGGUGUACAGCAGCAAUGCCCAGCCGACCGGUACUAAUAGGCCGAGGGCUUGU